AUACGGAGGGUGCAAGCGUUACUCGGAAUCACUGGGCGUAAAGAGCGUGUAGGCGGAUUGAUAAGUUUGAAGUGAAAUCCUAUAGCUUAACUAUAGAACUGCUUUGAAAACUGUUAAUCUAGAAUGUGGGAGAGGUAGAUGGAAUUUCUGGUGUAGGGGUAAAAUCCGUAGAGAUCAGAAGGAAUACCGAUUGCGAAGGCGAUCUACUGGAACAACAUUGACGCUGAGACGCGAAAGCGGUGGGGAGC
rnacentral:rRNA from 1 species